AGCCAAGUGAAACUCGUAUAAAAUAAAAAUCUCAAUAUCUUAAUAAAUACUUCUUGCUUUUUCAUAAAACUUAACCCAUGGCACCUUCUGUUGCAAAGCUGUCUUGAAAUGUAUUCAAUUUGGUUGUCACUUGCAAUGUCUUGCAGCAGCAAUGUGCAUAAUACACUUGCAGGACUGCACAGCUGCAGGUCUAAUACAACAAUAAAAUGACAUUUGUCGUAUACCUACAGAUAGUUGAACGUCAUGGGUACAACUAUUUGUUUUGUUCCUAGCAAUUAUAUGCGUCUUUUUUCUAUAGUUGUAUGUUUUUCACCACCUAGGCAUGUUUGCUAUGCGAAAUCGGUGGGCUGCCAUUCUCAUGAUUCCGGAAUUGAAAACUAUUGAAUAUUUCUGUUAUCUGUUGUCUCUAGUGCCCCAAUUACACAAAGCAAUUGUAGAGAGAUAUCUCUUAAAACAUGUCCAUGUGUUGAAAGUAUCGAUCGACAUAUUUAAUACUGUUUUUUUUAAGAGUUACAUAGAUGUUUACAUCAUAUCAUAGAAUGCUCCUUCCUGGAUUUUACAAUGGACCUGAUAAAUCAAUACGCGCCCAGUUUUAGCAGUUCCGAUUGAAGUUAACCCCUGUUAUUUCUUUUGCAGGUAAGGCUAUAAAAUAUUUUUGUUAAAUAAGUAUAUUAAUCCUACAGGUACAGUGCGAUGUCAAAAAAUUUUAAACACUAUUGCACGAAAAUAAAGAACUAUAUUCGCUAUGCGUAGUUUAUUUCUGAAGUCUGUCAUGCGAUAUUCGGCUAAAGUGAAAGUAGGAGUUGAAUGCCUUGUUUCACUAAAAAGAACAUUGCUCAGAUAUUUCUCUGGACUACCAAUUUAUGUACUUCAUGUGAUGCCUGCGUUGCAGCCCUCCCAAGAACCCCCCUUGUAGGUGUUCUAUAAUAAGAUUUCAAAGAUAAAGAGGAAAUGGUUCUAAUGAUAGAGAUUGUCCAUGUUGGUUUGUCUCAAUCUUUUGGAAAACAGUGAGAAAAUAUCAGCAGCAAAUGAAGACUCUGAUCUAAUUUAUUACUAUGUGACUUGAAAAUUAUUUGAUUUUAUGGUAGUAUUUACACAUGUGUUGAACU